UACAGAGGUCCCAAGCGUUGUUCGGAUUCAUUGGGCGUAAAGGGUGUGUAGGUGGCGCCGUAAGUCGGGUGUGAAAUUUCGGAGCUUAACUCCGAAACUGCAUUCGAUACUGCGGUGCUUGAGGACUGGAGAGGAGACUGGAAUUCAUGGUGUAGCAGUGAAAUGCGUAGAGAUCAUGAGGAAGACCAGUGGCGAAGGCGGCACUCUGGGCCGGAACUGACGCUGAGGAGCGAAAGCGUGGGGAGCAAACAGG
rnacentral:rRNA from 1 species